GGCUUUAUCCCGAAGGGAGCCCUUACAAAAAUUCUCUUAGAGUCCGGUUAAGGUCUAAGAGGGGGUAUGGAAAUAGUUUUCAACCAGCAAUAGACGUGCCUCGGUUAGUACCUCAUUAGCUGCGUCAUUGCCCCAAGCGCAAAGAU
rnacentral:snRNA from 1 species